rnacentral:rRNA from 1 species
UGGGAAUCUGCCCUUGGGUUCGGGAUAACAGUUGGAAACGACUGCUAAUACCGGAUGAUGACUUCGGUCCAAAGAUCUAUCGCCCAGGGAUGAGCCCGCGUCGGAUUAGCUAGUUGGUGGGGUAAAGGCCUACCAAGGCAACGAUCCGUAGCUGGUCUGAGAGGAUGAUCAGCCACACUGGGACUGAGACACGGCCCAGACUCCUACGGGAGGCAG